rnacentral:rRNA from 1 species
GAUGAACGCUGGCGGCGUGCUUAACACAUGCAAGUCGAACGGAAAGGCCCAAGCUUGCUUGGGUACUCGAGUGGCGAACGGGUGAGUAACACGUGGGUGAUCUGCCCUGCACUUCGGGAUAAGCCUGGGAAACUGGGUCUAAUACCGGAUAGGACCACAUUUUGGAUGGUGUGGUGGAAAGUUUUUCGGUGUGGGAUGAGCUCGCGGCCUAUCAGCUUGUUGGUGGGGUAAUGGCCUACCAAGGCGUCGACGGGUAGCCGGCCUGAGAGGGUGUACGGCCAUAUUGGGACUGAGAUACGGCCCAGACUCCUACGGGAGGCAGCGGUGGGGAAUAUUGCACAAUGGGCGCAAGCCUGAUGCAGCGACGCCGCGUGGGGGAUGACGGCCUUCGGGUUGUAAACUCCUUUCGCUAGGGACGAAGCGUUAUGUGACGGUACCUGGAGAAGAAGCACCGGCUAACUACGUG